UGGGGAAUUUUGGACAAUGGGCGCAAGCCUGAUCCAGCAAUGCCGCGUGCAGGAUGAAGGCCUUCGGGUUGUAAACUGCUUUUGUACGGAACGAAACGGCUCUGUCUAAUACAUGGGGCUAAUGACGGUACCGUAAGAAUAAGCACCGGCUAACUACGUGCCAGCAGCCGCGGUAAUACGUAGGGUGCAAGCGUUAAUCGGAAUUACUGGGCGUAAAGCGUGCGCAGGCGGUGAUGUAAGACAGGUGUGAAAUCCCCGGGCUUAACCUGGGAAUUGCAUUUGUGACUGCAUCGCUGGAGUGCGGCAGAGGGGGAUGGAAUUCCGCGUGUAGCGGUGGAAUGUGUAGAUAUCGGAAAGAACACCAGUGGCGAAGGCAGUCUUCUGGUCGAGAACUGACGCUCAGGCACGAAAGCGUGGGGAGCAAACA
rnacentral:rRNA from 1 species